rnacentral:rRNA from 1 species
AGUGAACGCUGGCGGUAGGCCUAACACAUGCAAGUCGAACGGCAGCACAGUAAGAGCUUGCUCUUACGGGUGGCGAGUGGCGGACGGGUGAGGAAUACAUCGGAAUCUACUUUUUCGUGGGGGAUAACGUAGGGAAACUUACGCUAAUACCGCAUACGACCUACGGGUGAAAGCAGGGGAUCUUCGGACCUUGCGCGAUUGAAUGAGCCGAUGUCGGAUUAGCUAGUUGGCGGGGUAAAGGCCCACCAAGGCGACGAUCCGUAGCUGGUCUGAGAGGAUGAUCAGCCACACUGGAACUGGGACACGGUCCAGACUCCUACGGGAGGCAGCAGUGGGGAAUAUUGGAAAAUGGGCGCAAGCCUGAUCCAGCCAUACCGCGUGGGUGAAGAAGGCCUUCGGGUUGUAAAGCCCUUUUGUUGGGAAAGAAAAGCAGCAGGUUAAUACCCCGCUGUUCUGACGGUACCCAAAGAAUAAGCACCGGCUAACUUCGU